rnacentral:rRNA from 1 species
UACGUAGGUGGCAAGCGUUGUCCGGAUUUACUGGGCGUAAAGAGCGCGCAGGCGGUUGGAUAAGUCGAAUGUGAAAGCCCCCGGCUCAACUGGGGAGGGUCAUUCGAUACUGUCCGACUCGAAGGCAGGAGAGGGAAGCGGAAUUCCCGGUGUAGUGGUGAAAUGCGUAGAUAUCUGGGAGGAACACCGAGCGGUAGGCGGCGAAGCUUCGUGGAUCC